UACGUAGGGGGCAAGCGUUGUCCGGAUUUAUUGGGCGUAAAGAGCGUGCAGGCGGCCAGGUAGGUCCGCUGUGAAAACUCGAGGCUCAACCUCGAGAUGUCGGCGGAAACCAUCUGGCUAGAGUCCGGAAGAGGAGAGUGGAAUUCCUGGUGUAGCGGUGAAAUGCGCAGAUAUCAGGAAGAACACCCGUGGCGAAGGCGGCUCUCUGGGACGGUACUGACGCUGAGACGCGAAAGCGUGGGGAGCGAACAGG
rnacentral:rRNA from 1 species